ACAUUGCUACACUUGCUUCUUGCAACUUGAGAGUGAAGGAAAGGGAAGCUACUUGAAAAACAAGGCCUAGUCGAAAUGUACGAAAAUCGUCUCUUUAAUUUGAAUAUUUUUAUAGCAAAGUCUUCCGUAACGAUGUGUUUUGUUGUGGCCGCGCCACUAAGGCUGUCUUCAAGCAUUUAGUCAGUCCAUGUAAGGUUACUAAAUGCAAGUAUUGACCAUACUUGUGUGGAAACCUGCUUUAUCCUGUGCUGUGUUUACACUGUACUACAGCAGCAGCUUCAUAGAGAGAAGCAACCCGUCGGACUAACUCACACAUUUACUGGUUCAAUCUCAUCUCUACUGGAUCAAUCUCAUCUGUCUGCAGCACGGCUGACCCAUCACCCCCCUGCCAGACGCCUCUCAGGAUCUGACUGACCUAUAUCUGCUUGCUCGGUCAGUGAGUACAAGCAUUCCACAGAGAAGCAGCUUCCAUCACUUCAGAUCUGUGGGAAAGAGUCAAUGCUCAGUCAGAUGAGAGGACAUGAGGAAAAAGUGCUUCUAAGAUCAACACUUGGGGUUAUGUUGAAACAGAGCCCCAUUGUAACCCAAUUACUGAUGCAAGUAUAUCAAGAAGCACGUGCACAGACAAAACUGGCCACAGCAAUUGGACUGCAACAACUGUUUUGCUUACAUUAUCGGCCCUCCGGGGUCUGGGAGGUAAAUGUGAUGCUGAAAUUAGAAAUGACUCUUCGUGGUGAGGAGCACAAAGGGGCCUUGUAACGCAAUGA